GGGGUCCCGCUGUGGGCCCGCAGCACAGCCGUGCGGCCGAGUGAGGCAGCCGGUGAGGGUCGGAACCGGGGGUUCUUGGGGGUUUCAGGUUAUCAAACCAGAUGUGAUCUUCAACUUGGAGCAAGACCAGCCACGGGCAAUAGAUGAGGAUGCCCCAAGUCAGAGCUUUUCAGCUGGAGGAAUCCUGACUGAAUGAAUUGGGGGACAUUUUCUUCCAGAGACAACUUGCAUUUGAUUCUGCUACUACCUGGGACCCUUCUUGCCCCCUUUUGGAAUCCUGGUUUAUUGUGUGAAUCUAAGGUUCAGCAAUUUUAGUACUGGCUCGAGGCCCAGUGUUCUCGUUUUAAAACUGAUAUCAUCAUUUAUAUUGAGGGAAAAUGCUUUUUCCAAUUGCUUAACGUUUACCAGACUCCAAGAUCUGAGAAGAGCACUCCACCAAACUUACAAGACUCCCUUUCCUAUAAGCCACUUUAUUAACAUUAUUUUUACUUGAGAAAUAAAAUAUUGCCUGCCAUAUCAGUAAAUAAAUGAUGUCAGAGUCAAUAGCGAUUACAGCCCUCCAAAGGUGAGCUGGUGAGCCCUGAGGGAACUCAGGAAGGAAGCAAAGAAUACCUGCCAUCCAGCAGCCAUCAGACUACAGCCACUCCCAUUGGUGAGCCCUGAGGAACUAAGAGUCCACAUGCCGCAACUAAAGAUCCCUCAUGCCAAAAUAAAUAAAUAAUAA